AAAAGACAGAAAGUGAUAAAUUAAUCACAAGUCACAGAAAACAGCCAACUGCAGCCAUGCUCUAAGCUCCUUUCCUCUUAGGGGGUGUAAAAUGGAAAUGCAGCCCCGCCC